GGCAGCGACGGCAUCUCCCGCACGCCUCUUCAUUUGUAGGAACAAACUCAGUAUUUGUUCGUCGUUGGUUAUCCUGUGUUGCAUACCCAUUGCGAGGGCAUUUGUUGGCUAAAACGGUCCCAUCUCCGCCCUGUGCUGGCGCUCCGAGCGAGCGUGCGGUGCGGGGUGGAUCUCACGGCUUGCSUCGUGUUUCGCGCCGCAUUCACCUACAUUGGUGUUUGGGUAGGCGACACACGACGUGCAGCCCGUUGUCUCGGGUGCGGAACAUCAGGUGGGUACGAGGCAUCAGCCUCCGAUCACCACACAAAUGCGUUCUACGCUCUAUGCGAACGACGACCGCACUCGGCCUUUGGUGGAGCAGUACCUGCUCGAUCGAAGUCGUGUCGGCGUCGGUGAGGGAUGCUACC
rnacentral:misc_RNA from 1 species